rnacentral:rRNA from 1 species
UACGAAGGGGGCUAGCGUUGUUCGGAUUUACUGGGCGUAAAGCGCACGUAGGCGGACUAUUAAGUCAGGGGUGAAAUCCCGGGGCUCAACCCCGGAACUGCCUUUGAUACUGGUAGUCUUGAGUUCGAGAGAGGUGAGUGGAAUUCCGAGUGUGGAGGUGAAAUUCGUAGAUAUUCGGAGGAACACCAGUGGCGAAGGCGGCUCACUGGCUCGAUACUGACGCUGAGGAGCGAAAGCCAGGGGAGCAAACGGG